rnacentral:tmRNA from 1 species
GGGGCCGACUGGUUUUGACAGCAUGAUGAAGAGUUGUGUAAGCAUGUCGGGUUUUGCAAGACUAUCCGUAACAAGUGUUGCAACGUUUUAGUUGGCGAAAACAACUACGCACUUGCAGCUUAAUCCGAAUUAUAGUAGGAUGGCUUAAUCGGUGCACUAGGUGUAUCGACAGGUAUCUUCUCACUAAAGCUCGCCGUACGCUUUAGUGAAUAUGGAGAUUCAUUGAGGAAGGCUAGUGUGCAAUCUGCUUCGAAUUGUAUGCGAAAUUUAGAAGAUAAGCUUGAGUUUGGUUGCUUUUUGCCGUGCUCAAGUCGAAAACUAAUGAUAAGCUAAGCAUGUAGAAAUCUUAAUUGUUCCAUGUUUGGACGCGAGUUCGACUCUCGCCGGCUCCACU